AGGGAUAUGGACUGUACUUUGUAAAGCGGACUCUUUCCCCUAUAUAAGGAGGGUUCGUGUGCCU
rnacentral:pre_miRNA from 1 species